UCAAUCUCGGACUGCGUUUUCUGGGGGAUACGCGUGGUGAACAUUCAAGCUGAUUGCGGCACCACGUAGGGUAGGUAUCAGCAAACCUUUUGCUGAUAGACGGGAUACUCUUGCUGUGGAAACAGCAUGUGAAUGGGAAACCCAACA
rfam:Vibrio metschnikovii CIP 69.14 VIB.Contig146, whole genome shotgun sequence.